UCCUGUAUCAAUAUUUAACAUCAGGUCAUUUGUUAUUUUCCUAUAAAAUAAUUUCUCACUUGAGCCAAUGUUUGUGAUUUACACAUGUUAUAUUUUACUAGGGAUAUAGUUAUUUUCAAUACUCUUGUCCUUUAGCCUCAAUACUAGAGUUACUUUGUUAAUAGACUAUCAUGUUAUAGUAUUAGAGUAUUCUGGAUUUGACUGCAUACUUGCCUUAACCAGUGUGUUGUAUAUUUAAAUUUAUUUUAUGUCACUAAUGAGCAUCCUUUCAUUUCAGUUUGAGGACUUCUUUCAGCAUUUCUUAUGAGGCCGGACUAGUGGUGAUGAACUCCGUCAGGUUUGCUUUGUCUGGGAAAGUUUUUAUUUCUCCUUCAUUUCUGAAAGACAACUUUUCUGGAUAGAGUACUCUUGGUUGGCAGUUUUUUUUCUCCUAGCACUUUGAGUAUGUCCAUGGAUGGAGGCCAAAUUGCUGUUGGUGGCAGGAGAACUAAUGAGGUGCCUGUUUUUCAGCCAUGAUGCUCAUGUCACCCUGUCAUGUGGGUGGUUUAAAAGUAAACUCCCCCGACUCUGGCCAAAUAUUUCCUUGAUUUCUUCUUUCAUGGUAUAUGUACCUCAUGUCAUUUAGCAUAUCAUCUAAAUUGUUACUUUUUUCUUUGAAUUCUCUUUUUAAUUUAUUUUUGGCUGCAUUGCUUCUUGCUGCUGCAGAGCUUGGGCUUCUCAUUGUGGUGGCUUCUCUUGAUGCUGAGCAUGGGCUCUAGGGUGCUGGCUUCAGUAGUUGUGGAGCAUGGGUUUAGUUGCACUGUGGCAUGUAGGAUCUUCCCUGACAAGGAAUUGAACUGCCACCCCCUGUAUUGGACUCCUAAGCACUGGACCAGCAGGAAAAUCCCUAAAUUCACCAUUAGUAUAUUUAGAAGCAAAACAAAAAAUGUAGUGUAAAUCUAUAGUGUAAAUCUCCAGGUGUUCAGUGUAGCCCUUGAGGUUCUUCCCAAUGUCUUUCCAGAUGCAUCUCUCUGCUUUCUUCCUUGUAUUUUGUGCUCUUCCAGGUUCCUCGGAAACAACCUAGAUGCCCUGUGCCUGAUGUUUGUGCUCACAUUCGAAUCUCCAAGUAGAAUGAUUCUCUCCCUUUUCUGUUUCUCAUGACGUCCUCUCUUCACUUCUUCUGUAAAUCCUUCCUUCUUCCACUUAUGACUUUAAUAUGUCAACUGUUACAUAUCAUAUUGUAUCAUAAUUGUAUAUUUGUGUUUGAAGGAAGAAUUUGUUUCUUGCGUAUGGUUGGUACUUCAUAACUGUUUUGAGAGUUAAUCAAUGACUUAAGAUGGGUAAGACUUGGAAUUUUGCAAGAAUUUUUUUUUAUUCUAUAUCAGUUGAAUUAUUAGAAAACAUUGGCUUUUUUGUGGAUUUUUUAAAAGUAGCGAUCCUGGCGUGCACAGGAAGAAAGUAAAGGAAAAGAACAAUGAUAAACAGACACCAGAAGACUGUGUGAUUGCACCAGUAUUUGAAAAGGCCAAUUCACUGACUGGUGGGCUGCUGCUCGUGAAUGACGACAACAAAGUGGAUGAAGAUGAUGACAGGCCUGCAAGAAUACCACCGUAUGAAAAGAAGAAGGUCAAAGAACAAAUUGAUUACGUGAACCACCUGGAUGAUUUACCUCAGUUGUCUGAGAAUGUUUCUGAGGAUGGUGACGUGCUUUACUCUACGAAUUCCAUGUUGCAAGUAGAACCACUUGGCUUGGGGUGUAAAGAUUCUGUUAGCUUGUUGAAAAUCCGGGAUACAAUUCUUUCGUAUGAAAGAUUAGUAGCAGUUAACAAAAGCCACUGUGAACUGCUUAGAGGAAAGAUUAAAAAAAUGGAAAGUAAGGUUAGUGGGCUACAGAAAGAGCUGUCAGAAACAAAAGAAGUGAAAUCACAGUUAGAGCAUCAGAAAGUGGACUGGGAACGAGAGUUCAGCAGGUUGAGGUUCACCUUAAAACAAGAGGAAGAGAAUAGAAGAAAUGCCAAUAUGUUAUAUGAAAAAAUGAGGGCGCAGUUAAGAAGAAAAGAAGACAAAUACAGUAAAGAAGUUGUAGUGACACAGCGACUAGCACUCACUCUCCGAGCACUGGAAAUGAAACUGAAGACGGAGAGAAGUCAUCUGAGUCAGGUUUCUGAUAGUUGUGAAGACACAAAAGCCCUGUUGCUCAAAAACCACAUGCUGCAGGAUGAAAUAGCCAUGCUAAGACUGGAGAUAGAUGCAAUGAAAAAUCAGCACCGGGCAAAGGAAGAGAACUAUUUUGAGGACAUUGAAAUUCUCAAAGUAAAGAACGAUAAUCUUCAAAAGGAAGUAAAACUGACUGAGGAAACGUUAACACAGACUAUAUCCCACUGUACAGGCCAGCUUAAUGCUCUGACAGCUGAGAAUACAAUGCUAAACUCAAAGCUGGAGAACAAAAAAGACAGCAAACAAAGACUGGAAACGGAAGUGAAAUCCUACCGUUCUAGACUGGCUGCUGCCUUACACGAUCAUGAUCAAGGUCAGACAUCAAAAAGAGACCUGGAACUUGCCUUCCAGAGAGCAAAAGAAGAGUGGUUAUGCUUGCAGGACAAAAUGGAGUCCGAUGUGGCUCAUCUAAAAGAGAACAAUGAGAUGCUUUCCCAGCAACUGUCUGCAGCGGAAAGUGAAUUCAAUAAGCUGAAAAUCAAGCUGCAUCACACGAGAGAUGAUCUCAGAGAAAAGACUUUGACAUUAGAACGUGCCCAGAGAGACCUAAGCCAAGCAGAGUGUCAAAAGCAGGAAAUUGAACACAUGUAUCAGAAUGAACAAGGCAAAGUGAGUAAAUAUAUUAGAAAGCAGGAAUCCUUAGAGGAGAGAUUAUCUCAACUCCAGAGUGAAAACAUGUUGCUCCGACAGCAACUGGAUGAUGCACAAAAGAGAGCCGACAGUAAAGAGAAGACGGUCAUUAGCAUCCAAGACCAGUUUCAGCAGAUCGUGAGAAAACUUCAGGCUGAACGUGAGAAACAAGGUCUGAUGCUGGAGGAAAGAAAUGAGGAGUUAAUCAACAAGUGUAAUCAUUUAAGAGAGAGAAUGCAUCAGUACAAAAAUGAGAAAGCAGAAGGAGAAGCACUUGUGAGACAACUUCAACAAGAACUGGAUGACACCGUAAAAACGCCGUCUAUGUCGGAUGCUUCGCUGAAAGGCAUGUCAUGGUGUCGUGCUAUCUUAGAAGCUGAGGCACAGGAUUUAAAGAACAAAUUUAAACUACAACUAUGUCAACUCACAAGUCAGACACAAGCUGGAUCUCAACAGAUGGACCUCAGAAUUAAAGACUUGGAAUCUGAAGUCCUCAAAAUGAAAACUUUGCAAGAAGAUUCCAAUAAAGCAGGGUUGGAAAAAUAUAAGCAACUCUACCUAGAAGAAUGUGAAGUGAGAAAGGCAUUGGAAGAUAAACUAGACAAGACUCAUGAGAGGCUGGCAGAGAUCAACACCAAACUUGAAGUGGAGAAGCAGCAGAACAGAUCUUUACUCAGCACUCUUAGCAGCAUGCCAGUCCUGGAGCCUCCUUGUGUUGGAAAUUUCAAUAAUCCUUUAGUGCUCCAUGAAAGUCUUACUCCACGAGCAAAUGUAGGGUUUUCUACCUCAAUUCCACGCCGUUCAGAUGACAGCAUGGAGACUUACUUGACCAAGAUGCGGCGGGAGUUGGACAGGAGUAUAGCUAGAGGAAUAAGAGAAGAGUGAAGACGGUGUGUGGAGUGAAGGGACAGGCAGACAUGCUUCACAAUUCCUGUGUUCCAAGAACAGAGAUGCUCCACCAGCUCACUCUCCAACCUUGUUUCCCAGCAGCUGCCAGUGCUGCAUACAGGGAGGACACAGGGCUCCCGCGAGGUGGAGGGGUUGCCUGAGAUCAUAAGGCAAGUUAUUAAUG